UACGUAGGGACCAAGCGUUGUUCGGAUUUACUGGGCGUAAAGGGCGCGUAGGCGGCGCGGUAAGUCACUUGUGAAAUCUCUGAGCUUAACUCAGAACGGCCAAGUGAUACUGCAGUGCUAGAGUGUGGAAGGGGCAAUCGGAAUUCUUGGUGUAGCGGUGAAAUGCGUAGAUAUCCGGAGGAACACCGGUGGCGAAGGCGGCUUCCUGGACCGACACUGACGCUGAGGCGCGAAAGCUAGGGGAGCAAACGGG
rnacentral:rRNA from 1 species